AUUGAACGCUGGCGGCAGGCCUAACACAUGCAAGUCGAGCGGGGUUUUCGGACCUAGCGGCGGACGGGUGAGUAAUGCGUAGGAAGCUACCCGAUAGAGGGGGAUACCAGUUGGAAACGACUGUUAAUACCGCAUAAUGUCUACGGACCAAAGUGUGGGACCUUCGGGCCACAUGCUAUCGGAUGCGCCUACGUGGGAUUAGCUAGUUGGUGGGGUAAUGGCUCACCAAGGCGACGAUCCCUAGCUGGUUUGAGAGGAUGAUCAGCCACACUGGAGCUGAGACACGGUCCAGACUCCGACGGGAGGCAGCAGUGGGGAAUAUUGGACAAUGGGCGCAAGCCUGAUCCAGCCAUGCCGCGUGUGUGAAGAAGGCCUUCGGGUUGUAAAGCACUUUCAGUAGGGAGGAAGGGUGUUGUGUUAAUAGCACAGCAUUUUGACGUUACCUACAGAAGAAGCACCGGCUAACUCUGUGCCAGCAGCCGCAGUAACAC
rnacentral:rRNA from 1 species